AUUGAACGCUGGCGGCAUGCCUUACACAUGCAAGUCGAACGGUAACAGGUCUUCGGAUGCUGACGAGUGGCGAACGGGUGAGUAAUACAUCGGAACGUGCCUAGUAGUGGGGGAUAACUACUCGAAAGAGUGGCUAAUGCCGCAUGAGAUCUACGGAUGAAAGCAGGGGAUCGCAAGACCUUGUGCUACUAGAGCGGCCGAUGGCAGUUUAGGUAGUUGGUGGGAUAAAAGCUUACCAAGCCGACGAUCUGUAGCUGGUCUGAGAGGACGAUCAGCCACACUGGGACUGAGACACGGCCCAGACUCCUACGGGAGGCAGCAGUGGGGAAUUUUGGACAAUGGGCGCGAGCCUGAUCCAGCAAUGCCGCGUGCAGGAUGAAGGCCUUCGGGUUGUAAACUGCUUUUGUACGGAACGAAAAGCCCUGGGUUAAUACCCUGGGGUCAUGACGGUACCGUAAGAAUAAGCACCGGCUAACUACGUGCCAGCCGCCGCAGUAACAC
rnacentral:rRNA from 1 species